UAUCUCUGUAGAGUCUGCAUAUCAAUAAGCGGAGGAAAAGAAACUAACUAGGAUUCCCUUAGUAACGGCGAGUGAAACGGGAAGAGCUCAAAUUUGAAAUCUUCAAGGUUUUACCUUGACGAAUUGUAGUUUAAAGAAGUGUUUUCUGUUGGUGUUUUGGUAAAAGUUCUUUGGAAUAGGACAUCAUAGAGGGUGAGAAUCCCGUAUUUGACCAUUAUUUUCAGCUUUGUGAUACACUUUCAAAGAGUCGGAUUGUUUGGGAAUGCAGUCCAAAAUGGGUGGUAAAUUUCAUCUAAAGCUAAAUAUUGGCGAGAGACCGAUAGCGAACAAGUACCGUGAGGGAAAGAUGAAAAGAACUUUGAAAAGAGAGUUAAACAGUACGUGAAAUUGUCAAAAGGGAAGCGUUUGACACCAGUGUUGUUUUCUCGAAAAUCAAUUAAAAAAAGUUGGAUUUUGUAUUGUUAAGACCUUAUCAGCUUACUGUACUCUUUUCUUGCUUUUUUUAAUGCACUUUUCGUUUAACAAGUCAACAUCAAUUUCUUUUGUUGUAAAAGAGUCAUUGGAAGGUGGCUUUCACUUCGGUGAAAGUGUUUAUAGCCUUUGGCCUCUGCAAUCGGAGAGAUUGAGGUCUGCAGCGUAGAUCCUUCGGGGCUAGAUACGUAGAUGCUAAGUUAUAGUUUUUUAUAGACAACUUGUUGACUAUAAUUAAUCAUGUAGCUUACUCGUUUGCGCUAUUUUACCUACGCUUAGGAUGUUGAUCUGUAGUGCGUGCGC
rnacentral:rRNA from 1 species